rnacentral:rRNA from 1 species
GCCAGACUCCUACGGGAGGCAGCAGUGAGGAAUAUUGGUCAAUGGGCGGGAGCCUGAACCAGCCAAGCCGCGUGAGGGAAGAAGGUACAGCGUAUCGUAAACCUCUUUUGUCAGGGAUCAAAGGCGGGGACUAGUCCCCGGAUGAGGGUACCUGAAGAAAAAGCAUCGGCUAACUCCGUGCCAGCAGCCGCGGUAAUACGUAGGUGGCAAGCGUUGUCCGGAAUUACUGGGUGUAAAGGGAGCGUAGGCAGGAAGCCAAGUCAGCUGUGAAAACUACGGGCUUAACCUGUAGACUGCAGUUGAAACUGGCUUUCUUGAGUGAAGUAGAGGUUGGCGGAAUUCCGAGUGUAGCGGUGAAAUGCGUGGAUAUUCGGAGGAACACCGGUGGCGAAGGCGGCCAACUGGGCUUUAACUGACGCUGAGGCUCGAAAGUGUGGGGAGCAAACAGGAUUAGAUACCCGUGUAAG